UGCAAGUCGAACGAACUCUGGUAUUGAUUGGUGCUUGCAUCAUGAUUUACAUUUGAGUGAGUGGCGAACUGGUGAGUAACACGUGGGAAACCUGCCCAGAAGCGGGGGAUAACACCUGGAAACAGAUGCUAAUACCGCAUAACAACUUGGACCGCAUGGUCCGAGUUUGAAAGAUGGCUUCGGCUAUCACUUUUGGAUGGUCCCGCGGCGUAUUAGCUAGAUGGUGGGGUAACGGCUCACCAUGGCAAUGAUACGUAGCCGACCUGAGAGGGUAAUCGGCCACAUUGGGACUGAGACACGGCCCAAACUCCUACGGGAGGCAGCAGUAGGGAAUCUUCCACAAUGGACGAAAGUCUGAUGGAGCAACGCCGCGUGAGUGAAGAAGGGUUUCGGCUCGUAAAACUCUGUUGUUAAAGAAGAACAUAUCUGAGAGUAACUGUUCAGGUAUUGACGGUAUUUAACCAGAAAGCCACGGCUAACUACGUGCCAGCAGC
rnacentral:rRNA from 2 species